AGGCCCGGAGAGAGAAGCAGGGUCUGAUCUGCAGCCUUCGUGGCAGCUGUUGAUCCGCCCUUGCCUCUCUCUCUCCCGGGG
rfam:Myotis lucifugus cont2.35062, whole genome shotgun sequence.